AUAUGCCUGGCUCCCUGUAUGCCAUCAGCAAGUUCCGCCCUCAGAUAGGGUGGCCUAUGCCGAUGGCGUACAGGGAGCCAAGCAUGU
rfam:Beta vulgaris subsp. vulgaris Bvchr7.sca004.con0115.1, whole genome shotgun sequence.